rnacentral:rRNA from 1 species
UACGAAGGGGGCUAGCGUUGUUCGGAAUUACUGGGCGUAAAGGGCGCGUAGGCGGCGCGUUAAGUCAGAUGUGAAAGCCCUGGGCUCAACCCAGGAAUUGCAUUUGAUACUGACGUGCUUGAAUCCGGAAGAGGAUGACGGAAUUCCCAGUGUAGAGGUGAAAUUCAUUGAUAUUGGGAAGAACACCAGUGGCGAAGGCGGUCAUCUGGUCCGGUAUUGACGCUGAGGCGCGAAAGCGUGGGGAGCAAAC